rnacentral:sRNA from 1 species
CGACGAUCAGCCGGCCUGCCUCGUCCUCUCUGCUUCCCCAGGAUGCUGCGCUGGGCCGAGCGACCGAUUCCAAGGAGCCCCCGGGAGAGCUGUGCCCCGACGUCCUGUAUCGUACGGGCCGGACGCUGCACGGCCAGGAGACCUACACGCCGCGACUCAUCCUCAUGGAUCUGAAGGGUAGUUUGAGCUCCCUAAAAGAGGAAGGUGGACUCUACAGGGACAAACAGUUGGAUGCUGCAAUAGCAUGGCAGGGGAAACUCACCACACACAAAGAGGAACUCUAUCCCAAGAACCCUUAUCUCCAAGACUUUCUGAGUGCAGAGGUGAGGGCCUCUGUCCUGAACUUUUUAACCCAGUGCUACAACCCAAGGGUCUCCAUAGGGGCAGGGAGUGCUGAGUAGUGAUGGUGUUUGGAGGGUCAAAUCCAUUCCCAAUGGCAAAGGUUCCUCACCACUCACCACCGCUACAACUCCAAAACCACUUAUCCCUACAGAGGCCAGCAUCAGGGUCUGGUCAGACUUCCUCAGAGUCCAUCUCCAUCCCCGGAGCAUCUGUAUGAUUCAGAAGUACAACCACGAUGGGGAAGCAGGUCGGCUGGAGGCUUUUGGCCAAGGGGAAAGUGUCCUAAAGGAACCCAAGUACCAGGAAGAGCUGGAGGACAGGCUGCACUUCUACGUGGAGGAAUGUGACUACUUGCAGGGCUUCCAGAUCCUGUGUGACCUGCACGAUGGCUUCUCUGGGGUAGGCGCGAAGGCGGCAGAGCUGCUACAAGAUGAAUAUUCAGGGCGGGGAAUAAUAACUUGGGGCCUGCUACCUGGUCCCUACCAUCGUGGGG